AGAGUUUGAUCAUGGCUCAGAACGAACGCUGGCGGCGCGCCUAAUACAUGCAAGUCGAGCGAGAAGACGUAGCAAUACGUUUGUAAAGCGGCGAACGGGUGAGGAAUACAUGGGUAACCUACCCUCGAGUGGGGAAUAACUAGCCGAAAGGUUAGCUAAUACCGCAUACGACUCCUGGUCUGCGGAUCGGGAGGGAAAGCGAUACCGUGGGUAUCGCGCUCUUGGAUGGGCUCAUGUCCUAUCAGCUUGUUGGUGAGGUAACGGCUCACCAAGGCUUCGACGGGUAGCUGGUCUGGGAGGACGAUCGGCCACACUGGCACUGCGACACGGGCCAGACUCCUACGGGAGGCAGCAGUAAGGAAUAUUGCGCAAUGGGCGACAGCCUGACGCAGCGACGCCGCGUGGGGGAUGAAGGUCUUCGGAUUGUAAACCCCUUUCGGCAGGGAAGAUGGAACGGGUGACCGUUCGGACGGUACCUGCAGAAGCAGCCACGGCUAACUUCGUGCCAGCCGCCGCGGUAA
rnacentral:rRNA from 1 species